rnacentral:rRNA from 1 species
UACGUAGGUGGCAAGCGUUGUCCGGAAUUAUUGGGCGUAAAGCGCGCGCAGGUGGUUUCUUAAGUCUGAUGUGAAAGCCCACGGCUCAACCGUGGAGGGUCAUUGGAAACUGGGGAACUUGAGUGCAGGAGAGAAGAGUGGAAUUCCACGUGUAGCGGUGAAAUGCGUAGAGAUGUGGAGGAACACCAGUGGCGAAGGCGACUCUUUGGCCUGUAACUGACGCUGAGGCGCGAAAGCGUGGGGAGCAAACAGG